rnacentral:rRNA from 1 species
AUACGUAGGUGACAAGCGUUAUCCGGAUUUACUGGGCGUAAAGGGCGUGUAGGCGGUCUUGCAAGUCAGAAGUGAAAUUCCUGAGCUCAACUCGGGCGCUGCUUCUGAAACUGCAGGACUUGAGUGCUGGAGGGGAUAGCGGAAUUCCUAGUGGAGCGGUAAAAUGCGCAGAUAUUAGGAAGAACACCGGUGGCGAAGGCGCCUUUCUGGACAGUAACUGACGCUGAGGCUCGAAAGCGUGGGGAGCAAACAGGCUUAGAUCCCCUGGUAGUCCACGCCGUAAACGAUGAAUACUAGGUGUAGGGGGUAUCGACUCCCUCUGUGCCGCAGGUAACACAAUAAGUAUUCCGCCUGGGGAGUACGGCCGCAAGGUUGAAACUCAAAUGAAUUGACGGGG